rnacentral:lncRNA from 1 species
UAAGUUUCCCUGAUUUUGACUCUGGCUCUGUUCAUCAUGUCCACGGAAUGCAAUCCCCUGCUUCCCCAGAAAUGACAUCACAGCAACAAACGAUGGAGGUAUUCACGUCUCUCAGUUAUUUCUCCUACACUGGCUCUAUGAAGCUGUUCUGUAAUAUCUCCAUGUGUUUCAGUUGUUUUGUAGCUCUUCCAGCAUGUCAUGGAAGCCUUAUGAAGGCUACUUUGUUCAUGCUCUCUGAAUGAUUCUAAAGCCCUUUUCCAGUUGGAGAAACCUGCACUUGUUAAUGUGUCUUUGCUGUUUCGGAUAUGAUGCUUGCCAAAGAGACGACAAGAAAAGCAGAAUGCAGAAUUUCUGGAUACGGAAUACUCAAGCCACUGAAAUGCAUCUAGCCAAUUCUUAUUAAAAGCUCUCUGCUGUGUUCCAAAUUGGGUAAAGGGAUACUGCUGAAGCUUCACGUGUUUUGGGCCUGUCUGCAGUGUUCCUAGAUCAUCCCUUUCACCUUCUAAAGCCUCUUCUUUCCUUGCUGACUCAUCUAAGACAUGGUAAAAUAGCAAGCUCAGCUCUAUUAUUGUUUUAAUAGUCUUCACUUAACGGCAUGAUUUUUGUGAGAAUAGAUAAAAAAAGGUGAAUAAAGAAUCUAUAAUAACAAAACAAAAAAAACUUCACCCAUUCUACCUUAUUCUUACUUUAUACAUACACUCACAUACAUAAUACACACACAAACACUUAAAGACAAGUAUAAUUAUAAACACAGGGCUCUAUACACUUAUAUUUUUGAAGGAGCACUUACACAGCACUUACAAAUUGCAUAAAUAAUCUUAUGAGGCUAAUGUAUCAAAUAUAAAAUUUGGAAUACAGAAAUAUGAAAUGAUGAAAAAAAUUAGAAUGGUACUUUGCCACUAGGUGGCGGUAAGCCACUGCCUUAAUGAGUGAGUCGGUCAGUCAUUUAAUCAAUGGAUUCGUUCGAAACAGAUGAUUCAUUCAGAAAAAAUGCGAAUCACUUCAGGGAACUUCGAUUAGAACAGACUCAACAUUCUCAGAUCAAGUCAUGGACCACAGUGCAAAGAACGGUACAUCACAGCUCAACGGGUAAUGUUUCGAUCUGUUGUUUUAUUGUUGAAUUCAUUGUCACCACAUGCCAGGACAUGAAUCUGUCAUGACUU